UACGGAGGGGGCUAGCGUUGUUCGGAAUUACUGGGCGUAAAGCGCACGUAGGCGGCUUUGUAAGUUAGAGGUGAAAGCCCAGGGCUUAACCCUGGAAUUGCCUUUAAGACUGCAUCGCUAGAAUCGUGGAGAGGUAAGUGGAAUUCCGAGUGUAGAGGUGAAAUUCGUAGAUACUCGGAAGAACACCAGUGGCGAAGGCGACUUACUGGACACGUAUUGACGCUGAGGUGCGAAAGCGUGGGGAGCAAACAGG
rnacentral:rRNA from 1 species